rnacentral:rRNA from 1 species
GACCCCAGGUCAGGCGGGACUACCCGCUGAAUUUAAGCAUAUCAAUAAGCGGAGGAAAAGAAACUUACCAGGAUUCCCUUAGUAACGGCGAGCG